AGCGAACGCUGGCGGCGUGCUUAACACAUGCAAGUCGAGUGCGUAGCCCUUUGUAGCAAUACAGAGGGUGGGCGCACGGCGCACGGGUGAGUAACACGUGGGUAACCUGCCCUUCGGUGGGGAUAACCCGCGAAAGCGGGGCGUAAUUCCGCAUAACAUUCCGGGGACGACAUGUUCUCGGACUCAAAGGAGUGAUUCGCCGGAGGAGGGG
rnacentral:rRNA from 1 species